GACGGAGGAUGCAAGCGUUAUCCGGAAUUAUUGGGCGUAAAGCGUCCGCAGGCGGCUAGAUAAGUCUGCUGUUAAAUAUCACAGCUCAACUGUGAGACGGCGGUGGAAACUGUAUAGCUAGAGUACGGUAGGGGUAGAGGGAAUUCCCAGUGUAGCGGUGAAAUGCGUAGAUAUUGGGAAGAACACCAGUGGCGAAGGCGCUCUACUGGGCCGUAACUGACGCUGAGGGACGAAAGCUAGGGG
rnacentral:rRNA from 1 species